rnacentral:rRNA from 1 species
CCUACGGGAGGCAGCAGUGAGGAAUAUUGGUCAAUGGACGAGAGUCUGAACCAGCCAAGUAGCGUGAAGGAUGACUGCCCUAUGGGUUGUAAACUUCUUUUAUAUGGGAAUAAAAUGUUCCACGUGUGGGAUUUUGUAUGUACCAUAUGAAUAAGGAUCGGCUAACUCCGUGCCAGCAGCCGCGGUAAUACGGAGGCUCCGAGCGUUAUCCGGAUUUAUUGGGUUUAAAGGGCGCGUAGGUGGAUUGUUAAGUCAGUUGUGAAAGUUUGCGGCUCAACCGUAAAAUUGCAGUUGAAACUGGCAGUCUUGAGUACAGUAGAGGUGGGCGGAAUUCGUGGUGUAGCGGUGAAAUGCUUAGAUAGCACGAAGAACUCCGAUUGCGAAGGCAGCUUACUGGACUGCAACUGACACUGAGGCUCGAAAGUGUGGGUAUCAAACAGGAUUAGAUACCCGUGUAGUC